rnacentral:misc_RNA from 1 species
UUUUUAUGUUAGAAACUGGACUUUAAGUAUCAUCUCUUACAUUUCGAUGAGAUACUAACUACAAAAAAUUGACGUGCUUGACGUGCAAUUUUUUCUUCAAAAUGAAGAAUUGAAAAUGUGAUUUAUUAUAUCGUUAUAUGUUCCUGUUCGAUAAAUUAAUCAACAAUGAAUAAGAUGUCAAGAUAUCCUUCAGAUUGCAAAGUAUAUGUAGGAGACUUAGGAAGUGGUGCGACAAAACAAGAAUUAGAAGAUGCUUUUUCUUACUAUGGAUCUUUAAGAAAUGUAUGGGUAGCUAGAAAUCCACCUGGAUUUGCUUUUGUGGAAUUUGAAGAUGCUAGAGAUGCAGAAGAUGCAAUUAGAGGACUUGAUGGAAGAACUAUAUGUGGAAGACGAGCUCGUGUGGAACCAUCUAAUGGGAGAAGAUUAAGAGAUAGGAGUUAUUUCAGAAGAGGUAUAGGAAGAUUGUUUCAUCCUGAAGAUAGAUGUUACGAAUGUGGUGAAAGAGGCCACUAUGCUAGAAAUUGUCAACGACAUAGAAAUACACGUAAAAAAAGGAGAACCAGCAGAACAGUAUACACAUGAGAAAUGUGUUGCUACUGAGAUUCUCGUGACAUUCGCCUUGGGUUCACUUUGUGAUACUACGUAGUUACAGCACAAAGUACCCACGUUCCUUGGGUUUCUUUCUGCAUUCUACAAGCAAAAGAGGAAAACAUGGCCGAUGGAGUGGCUAGUUCUGCACACUACAAUACUUCUAACGACCACUGAGAUCACCUUAAACUGAAAGUUUUUGCACAUCAGCACUACUGAUCCCACUCCAGGUCUUAUUCACGAUCAAAAUCGCAAUCAAGAUCACGGUCUCGGUCACGUUCGAAGUCAAGAUCAAGAAGCAAGCAUUCACGAUCAUCAUCUCGUAGCCGUUCUCACAGUAGAAAUGACUAUAAUAAAGAUAAAAUUCGUAAUAAACGACGAUCUGAUUCUAGAGAUCGUAGUCCGCGCAGGACCAAAUCGAAAUCUGUUUCUAGAUCUCGCAGCAAAUAAAACGAUGUAUAUUCUUUAGCUGAUAAGUGUAUGAAAAUCAUUUCUUAUGUUAAUAGUUACAUGUUCUAUCAAUUAAGCUUUUCAUGAUUAAUUUUUUCUAAUCCUUUGAAACAAGAUGUUAAAAAAAAA